rnacentral:piRNA from 1 species
UAAGCGAUUCCUAAAGGACGAGUGGUC